GAUGAACGCUGGCGGCGUGCCUAAUACAUGCGAGUCGAGCGAACGGACGAGAAGCUUGCUUCUCUGAUGUUAGCGGCGGACGGGUGAGUAACACGUGGAUAACCUACCUAUAAGACUGGGAUAACUUCGGGAAACCGGAGCUAAUACCGGAUAAUAUUUUGAACCGCAUGGUUCAAAAGUGAAAGACGGUCUUGCUGUCACUUAUAGAUGGAUCCGCGCUGCAUUAGCAAGUUGGUAAGGUAACGGCUUACCAAGGCAACGAUGCAUAGCCGACCUGAGAGGGUGAUCGGCCACACUGGAACUGAGACACGGUCCAGACUCCUACGGGAGGCAGCAGUAGGGAAUCUUCCGCAAUGGGCGAAAGCCUGACGGAGCAACGCCGCGUGAGUGAUGAAGGUCUUCGGAUCGUAAAACUCUGUUAUUAGGGAAGAACAUAUGUGUAAGUAACUGUGCACAUCUUGACGGUACCUAAUCAGAAAGCCACGGCUAACUACGUG
rnacentral:rRNA from 1 species